CAACCCGCUGCCCUCUGGUGUCCUGCUGUGGGAGCUUUGUUCUUUCACUCUCGUAAUAAGUCUUGCUGCUGCUCACUCUUUGGGUCCGCACUGUCUCUGUGAGCUGUAACACUCACCGCGAGGUUCUGUGCCUUCGUUCUUUAAGUCAGGGAGACCACGAACCCACCGGGAGGAACAAACAACUGUGAUGCGCCAUCUUUAAGAGCUGUAACAUUCACCGCCGGGGUCUGCGGCUUCAUUCCUGGAGUGAGUGAGACCACGAACCCACCAGAAGGAAGAAACUCUGGACCCAUCUGAACAGCUGAAGGAACAAACUCCGGACACACCAUCUUUAAGAACUGUAACACUCACCGGGAGUCUCCGUGGCUUCAUUCUUGAAGACAGCGAGACCAAGAACCCACCAGAAGGAAUGAAUUCCGCACACAGCAACAGCACAAAGUUAAACCAGGAAGUCCCUCUGCCUUGCUAGGGAUCCAGGUUUGCCUUCCUGUUGAGGUAUCCCAUUUCAUUACAGUUGACCUAAGUUUGAACAAACACUGCCACCUGAUGCAUGAAAGCUCUACUGUGACCUACGUUAAAAGGAGCUGACACUCCCUCAGGCUACCUUAGUCAGUGGGGGCUUACUGCAGCAUACCUGUGGCGAUGAGAGAGAGAGGCACAUCACAGGAGCAUCUGGCACCAGUGGCAUCCUGAAUUUAAGAUGAAACAAUAGAGAAAGAACCAAGAAGUUACAUACAUUCAUCAGAAUUGCUGGAGAGUCCUGACCUCUGGCCAUCGAUCAAAGGGAAGCGUUCACUACUGAAGGUCUUUUUGCCUGAUGCAGAAUAUUGCCUUGUUUCAACUCUUUAAUGAGUGGACUAUUCUCUGAAGCUGGCCCUCAGUCUUACUCUGGGUUCAUCAACCAAGGUCAAGAUCUGUCCACAUGCACGUAACAGGAGCACUUUUCCGAGAAUUGUAAAGGAGCCACGGUGCAAAGCCUUCUGGACCUGGGUCUCAUGUGAAAACUCAGCAAUGAGCCUCCUGGCCUGAGAUGAGCCUGCGGAGCACCUUGUUACAGCACGCAUAUGAUGUAUAUAAAAAAUGAACACAUGUAUUCCAAUUACACUGAUUUGAUCUUUACAAACUAUAUGGAUGUAUUAAAUUGUCACAUGUACCCUCAAAAUAUGUACAUCUAUUAUGUAUCAAUAAAAUAAUUAACAUAU
rnacentral:lncRNA from 1 species